rfam:Byssochlamys spectabilis No. 5 DNA, contig: PVAR5_00024_2.
GCUCGAAUAGCUCAGUUGGUAGAGCGCUUGACUAGUAUCAACUAGUUUCGCGACUAAUCGCUUAUCAAGAGGUCUGGAGUUCGAAUCUCCAUUUGAGCA